rnacentral:pre_miRNA from 1 species
GAUCUACUCCCUCCAUUUGGAAUUACUUGUCUUGGAAAUGGAUGUAUCUAGAACUAAAAUACGUCUAGAUACAUUCAUUUUUGCGACAAGUAAUUCCGAACGGAGGGAGUACUGC